rnacentral:misc_RNA from 1 species
CUGACAGAGAGUUGAUGGGAAAAUUCUUGUGAGCUUGAGAUUAUAUUUUAUUGCAUAACUAAUAACAAAUCUACCAAAUAUGAAAAUACCUUUACAGUUUUCUUCUGCACUAUAUUUAUUUGCGUGGAUUACAUUGGUUUAUGGAGUACUAAUGCAACCCUCAGAGCCACCUAUAAAAUCAACAAUAACUGAUCCCGAGUUGGCAUUGAACACCGCCAAAAUAGUAUCGAUUGCUGUAAACAAUACCUUCAACACUUACUGUCCAUGGAAAAACAUAAGUAGAUGCUAUCAAUUUGCUGACUAUUUCCGUAAACAACUGAUCGUUCCAUUACCACGGUUGUCGCUUCAAGACAACAUUAUCAAGAACCAAACAAAAUUGUUAAAUAUGGCCCUAGUCAACAUCUCUACCACACUCAGGAAAUAUGCUGUCCUGAUUAAGAACCAACUUGAGAUAGAACGUGACCGUAUAUGUGCUCCUGCCAAAGUCAUAGCAGUGCCGUGUCAUUAUCCGGCUGCCUGUUCUAGGCUUACUGCUGAUUCAAAGGCUAUGCGUUAUUGCUAUUUGAGAUUUGUUGAAUCCUAUCUAACUGACCUGAAUCUGCUGAUGCCUUUGGAUUCUCAUGAAACAGAAGUAGAUGAGAGGCUUCUCUUACGAAAAGACGCUUCAGCUUCUCUUCGACGAAAAUCCAUUUUAAUUACUCUACGGACGCUUCAGGAACAUGUAACCGUUACCCAAAGAAUUCUACAGAUAUACAAUUAGUUAUUGUUGUCAUUAGAAUUUUAAAGAAAUGAAAUGAAUAUCUGGUGUGACUAUAGGUGCAAGCUUGGUUGUGUAAGAAGUAUCUUUCAAUCAAGAAGUCCCUUUCUCCAAAACCUGAAGUGAAAAAGUCUCUAGAAAAAUCUUUUUGUUUCAUAAUGAGGAUAUUAAUUUAUUUUAUCGCGUUUGUUUUAAAUAUUUUAUAUUUAUAAUUGUAUUCUCCAUAUAAAUAGAUUCAAAAAUUCUUUUGAUUUUCUUCCUUUCAAAUCAAGGGAGUAAGAUUAGCAUAAAAUACAUAUAUUUUGGAGGGUAACUGAUUAAAAAAAAGUUCGCCGACCCCUGAUCUAAUGACUGAAACAAGUAAUAGACGAAAGAUAAAAAAAGAUCGAAAGAG